rnacentral:rRNA from 1 species
UACGUAGGGUGCGAGCGUUGUCCGGAAUUAUUGGGCGUAAAGGGCUCGUAGGCGGUUUGUCGCGUCGGGAGUGAAAUCCACUGGCUUAACUGGUGGCUUGCUUUCGAUACGGGCAGACUGGAGGUAUGCAGGGGAGAACGGAAUUCCUGGUGUAGCGGUGAAAUGCGCAGAUAUCGAGGAAGAACAGCCCGUAGGCUAAGGCGGCUGCUCUAGUACGGUACUGACGCUGAAGACGCG